rnacentral:rRNA from 1 species
UACGUAGGGGGCUAGCGUUGUCCGGAUUUAUUGGGCGUAAAGAGCGUGUAGGCGCCAGGUAGGUCCGUUGUGAAAACUCGAGGCUCAACCUCGAGACGUCGGCGGAAACCCUCUGGCUAGAGUCCGGAAGAGGAGAGUGGAAUUCCUGGUGUAGCGGUGAAAUGCGCAGAUAUCAGGAAGAACACCCGUGGCGAAGGCGGCUCUCUGGGACGGUACUGACGCUGAGGCGCGAAAGCGUGGGGAGCGAACAGG